GACGAACGCUGGCGGCGUGCUUAACACAUGCAAGUCGAACGGAAAGGCCCUGCUUUUGUGGGGUGCUCGAGUGGCGAACGGGUGAGUAACACGUGAGUAACCUGCCCUUGACUUUGGGAUAACUUCAGGAAACUGGGGCUAAUACCGGAUAGGAGCUCCUGCUGCAUGGUGGGGGUUGGAAAGUUUCGGCGGUUGGGGAUGGACUAGCGGCUUAUCAGCUUGUUGGUGGGGUAGUGGCUUACCAAGGCUUUGACGGGUAGCCGGCCUGAGAGGGUGACCGGCCACAUUGGGACUGAGAUACGGCCCAGACUCCUACGGGAGGCAGCAGUGGGGAAUAUUGCACAAUGGGCGGAAGCCUGAUGCAGCAACGCCGCGUGCGGGAUGACGGCCUUCGGGUUGUAAACCGCUUUCGCCUGUGACGAAGCGUGAGUGACGGUAAUGGGUAAAGGAGCACCGGCUAACUACGUG
rnacentral:rRNA from 1 species